GACCACGUGGAUGCUAGUUAGCUGCAUGAUUAAAUGGUACAUCGAACAAUCCUAAAAUUGAAAUGCCAUACAGCAUCCGAGAGGUGGAAGAAGGGGAAUGUCUCAUCUUUCCUGUUAUUCGAUACAAGUUUAAAUGUGAGCUGUUUUAGAUGCAGUGAGCGAUGUCUUUGAGCUUCCUCCCAAGAACUGCAUUUGGCAUCGAUCCACCGUGGCUUCAAACUGUGUCUUGGCUACAAGAUUUGUCACAGAUAGUCAGAUGAUUGAGCAGUUAAAGCAGUAGUCUACUGCUCUGGGUGACCCAAGAAUGAAUAAAGGCAGGUUGAAAAACUCUAGAAAUUUUCUGUGGGUGGUUUUCACCGGAUAUAUUGGAGCCAACCCUUUGUCACCUGACCUAAUCCAUAAUGGUCUUGGUAAAAAAAGGCCUUCUUAGUGCCCACAAGGUGGAGAAUAAAAGAAAAUCUGUCAGAGA